GCCGGUAUGACGCAAUAGGUAGCGUAGCUGAUUUGUAAUCAGAGUGUUACGGGUUCGAAUCCUGUUACCGGCU
rnacentral:tRNA from 1 species